GAUUAAACUAGUAAGGGCGUAUGGUGGAUAUCUAGGCGCUAGAAGCCGAAGACGGACGUGGCAAGCUGCGAUAAGCCUUGGUAAGCUGCAAACAAGUGAUAAUCCAGGGAUUUCCUAAUGAGAGCACUUAACAUGGUAACCCAUGUUAUCUUAGAGCUAACUAGAAUAACUCUAAGAGGGUAACGGGGCGAACUGAAACAUCUUAGUAACCCUAGGAAAAGAAAGAAAAUCGAUUCCCUAAGUAGCGGCGAGCGAAAGGGGAAGAGUCCAAACUGUAAUAGUGUAUAAGCUUAUGGGCGUUACUAUUACAGGGUAGUAGGUCUAUUAUGAUACUACCAUAAAAGUAUCAUAGAUAUCUUUUUAGUUAAUUGAAGUAGUUGGGAAGCUACACCACAGAUGGUAAUAGUCCAGUAGAUGAAAACUAAAAAGGGUCUAAAUAGCACCUGAGUACCAUGAGUCACGUGGAACCUCGUGGGAAGCAAGGAGGACCAUCUCCUAAGGCUAAAUACUAACUAGCGACCGAUAGUGAACCAGUACCGUGAGGGAAAGAUGAAAAGAACCCCGGGAGGGGAGUGAAAUAGACCUUGAAACCAUAUGCUUACAAGCGGUCAGAGGGCGUAUGUGCCUGAUGGCGUGCUUUUUGCUUAACGAACCGGCGAGUUAUGUUAAGUGGCACAGGUUAAGCCAAAAAGGUGAAGCCGAAGCGAAAGCGAGUCUGAAGAGGGCGUAAGUCGCUUAGCAUAGACCCGAAACCGAGUGAUCUAUCCAUGGCCAGGAUGAAGCAUGUGUAAUAGCAUGUGGAGGUCCAAACCGCAUUGACGUUGAAAAGUCAUGGGAUGAGCUGUGGAUAGGGGUGAAAGGCCAAUCGAACUCGGAGAUAGCUGGUUCUCCCCGAAAUAGCUUUAGGGCUAGCCUUAAGAUUGCUAUAUUGGCUGUAGAGCACUGAUUGGACUAGGGGCUUACCCAAGCUACCGAAUCCAGUCAAACUCCGAAGGCUGAUAUAGAGAACUUAAGAGUCAGACUAUGUGGGAUAAGCUUCAUAGUCGAGAGGGAAACAACCCAGACCGCCAGUUAAGGUCCCAAAGUGUAAACUAAGUGGCAAAGGAAGUGAGACUGCCUAGACAACCAGGAUGUUGGCCUAGAAGCAGCCAUUCAUUUAAAGAGUGCGUAAUAGCUCACUGGUCGAGUGGUCUUGCGCCAAAAAUAUACGGGGCUUAAGUUUACCACCGAAACUGCGGAUUGGUUAAUCCAAUGGUAGGGGAGCAUUCUAUACGGGAAGAAGUAGUACCGAAAGGAGCUAUGGACUGUAUAGAAGCGAUAAUGCCGGUAUGAGUAACGAGAAAUAGGUGAGAAUCCUAUUCGCCGAAAGUCCAAGGUUUCCUGAGCAAGGCUCGUCCGCUCAGGGUAAGUCGGGUCCUAAGCCAAGGCCGAAAGGCGUAGGUGAUGGAUAGUCGGUUAAAAAUCCGACACUACCUAUUAGCAUUUGAGUGAAGAGGUGACGCAGGAAGAUAGGUUUGCCUGAGAACGGUAUAUCAGGUUGAAGCAUUAAAGAGGAUGAUUUAGGUAAAUCCGGAUCAUCAUUAACUCUAAGGUGUGACCAGGAGUUUCUACGGAAACGAAGUAAUUGAUUCUCCACUGCCAAGAAAAACCUCUAACAAGUUAGUAGGUACCCGUACCGUAAACUGACACAGGUGGACUAGAUGAGAAUUCUAAGGCGCGCGAGAGAACCUUCGUCAAGGAACUCGGCAAAUUAGCCCCGUAACUUAGGGAGAAGGGGUACCUCAUUAGCGUUAUGCGCAAAGAGGUUGCAACAAAGAAGCUUAGGCGACUGUUUACCAAAAACACAGGUCUCUGCUAAGACGCAAGUCGAAGUAUAGGGGCUGACGCCUGCCCGGUGCUGGAAGGUCACGGGGAGAUGUUGGGAACUUUGUUCUAAAGCAUCGAACUUAAGCCCCAGUGAACGGCGGCCGUAACUAUAACGGUCCUAAGGUAGCGAAAUUCCUUGUCGGGUAAGUUCCGACCUGCACGAAUGGCGAAACGACCUAAGCACUGUCUCGACGAAGGACUCGGUGAAAUUGAAGUGUCUGUGAAGAUGCAGACUACCCGCGACUGGACGGAAAGACCCCGUGGAGCUUUACUGCAGUCUGAUAUUGAAUUUUGGUACACUAUGUACAGUAUAAGUGGGAGGCUUUGAAAUCGGCACGCUAGUGUCGAUGGAGCCAUCAUUGGGAUACCACUCUUAUUGUGCCGUGAUUCUAACCAAGCGCUAUAAUCUAGUGCUGGGACAGUUUCAGACGGGCAGUUUGACUGGGGCGGUCGACUCCUAAAGAGUAACGGAGUCGCCCAAAGGUUCCCUCAGUGUGGUCGGAAAUCACACGUAGAGUGUAAAGGCAUAAGGGAGCUUGACUGCAAGACAUACAGGUCGAGCAGGUACGAAAGUAGGGCUUAGUGAUCCGAUGGCUAAGAAUGGAAUUGCCAUCGCGCAACGGAUAAAAGUUACCCCGGGGAUAACAGGCUUAUCUCCCCCAAGAGUUCACAUCGACGGGGAGGUUUGGCACCUCGAUGUCGGCUCGUCGCAUCCUGGAGCUGGAGCAGGUUCCAAGGGUUGGGCUGUUCGCCCAUUAAAGCGGCACGCGAGCUGGGUUCAGAACGUCGUGAGACAGUUCGGUCCCUAUCCGUCGUGGGCGCAGGAUAUUUGAGAGAAACUAUCCCUAGUACGAGAGGACCGGGAUGGACGUACCGCUGGUGGAUCAAUUGUCAACCAUUGGCAUUGUUGAGUAGCUAAGUGCGGAACUGAUAAGCGCUGAAAGCAUCUAAGCGUGAAGCAGAUCUCAAGAUUAGAUAUCCCAUGGAAUAAUCCAGUAAGACCCCUGAUAGACUAUCAGGUAGAUAGGCCAGAGGUGUAAGUGUGGUAACACAUUAAGCUGACUGGUACUAAUAGAGCGAGGGUUUAAUCUA
rfam:Halobacteroides halobius DSM 5150, complete genome.